rnacentral:rRNA from 1 species
CAGGGAUUGCCCUAGUAACGGCGAGUGAAGCGGCAACAGCUCAAAUUUGAAAUCUGGCCCUCUCAGGGUCCGAGUUGUAAUUUGCAGAGGGUGCUUUGGCGAUGGCUGUGGUCUAAGUUCCUUGGAACAGGACGUCACAGAGGGUGAGAAUCCCGUACGUGGCCGCCAGCCUCCGCCGUGUAAAGCCCCUUCGACGAGUCGAGUUGUUUGGGAAUGCAGCUCUAAAUGGGAGGUAAAUUCCUUCUAAAGCUAAAUACUGGCCAGAGACCGAUAGCGCACAAGUAGAGUGAUCGAAAGAUGAAAAGCACUUUGGAAAGAGAGUCAAAAAGCACGUGAAAUUGUUGAAAGGGAAGCGCUUGCAGCCAGACUUGCCUGUAGUUGCUCACCGGGGCUCUUGCCCUGGGCACUCUUCUACGGGCAGGCCAGCAUCAGUCCGGGCGGUUGGAUAAAUGCCUGCUACAUGUACCUCUCUUCGGGGAGGACUUAUAGGGUAGGCGACAUACAGCCAGCCUGGACUGAGGUCCGCGCAUCUGCUAGGAUGCUGGCGUAAUGGCUGUAAGCGGCCCGUCUUGAAACACGGACCAAGGAGUCUAACAUCUAUGCGAGUGUUUGGGUGUAAAGCCCGAGCGCGGAAUGAAAGUGAACGGAGGUGGGAACCCCUCGGGGUGCACCAUCGACCGAUCCUGAUGUCUUCGGAUGGAUUUGAGUAUGAGCAUAGCUGUUGGGACCCGAAAGAUGGUGAACUAUGCCUGAAUAGGGUGAAGCCAGAGGAAACUCUGGUGGAGGCUCGCAGCGGUUCUGACGUGCAAAUCGAUCGUCAAAUUUGGGCAUAGGGGCGAAAGACUAAUCGAAG